rnacentral:rRNA from 1 species
AUUGAACGCUGGCGGCAGGCCUAACACAUGCAAGUCGAACGAGUGGCGGACGGGUGAGUAAUGUCGGGGAAUCUGCCCGAUGGGGGGGGAUAAAUACUGGAAACGGUAGCUAAUACCGCAUACCAUCGGAUGUGCCCAGAUGGGAUUAGCUUGUAGGUGGGGUAACGGCAAACCUAGGCGACGAUCCCUAGCUGGUCUGAGAGGAUGACCAGCCACACUGGGACUGAGACACGGUCCAGACUCCUACGGGAGGCAGCAGUGGGGAAUAUUGCACAAUGGGCGCAAGCCUGAUGCAGCCAUGCCGCGUGUAUGAAGAAGGCCUUCGGGUUGUAAAGUACUUUCAGCGGGGAGGCGUUACCCGCAGAAGAAGCACCGGCUAACUCCGUGCCAGCAGCCGCGGUAAUAC